GUAACCUACCUUUAACAGGGGGAUAACACUGAGAAAUUGGUACUAAUUCCCCAUAAUAUUCGGAGAGGCAUCUCUCCGGGUUGAAAACUCCGAUGGUUAUAGAUGGGCAUGCGUUGUAUUAGCUAGUUGGUGAGGUAACGGCUCACCAAGGCAACGAUACAUAGGGGGACUGAGAGGUUAACCC
rnacentral:rRNA from 1 species